UUGAAACCGAUUCCAGGGGUAAACCUGAGAAACCCGAAAGUUCGAAUGGGGAAAUUCAUUCGCGUUUCGGUUGCCAGCGAUGAGUAGUUGCUUGACUGAUGGCGUUCGCGUCGUUAGCUACUUCUGUUUUUCGUUCUGGUAUCGAACGCGUGCACUUUUCCCCUUGUAGGACGUCGCGAUCCGUUGGGUGUCGGUCUAAGGCCCACGGUGGAGUCCACGUUGACGUUUCGGCGUUUUGCGUGAACCCGUGGUGUCCCGGUCGACUCGCUCGACGGUAUAAAGAUGGUGUGGGGCCGCUAUUCAGUUAGCGUUCGGCCCAUGGCAAGCGCGCUCGGUGUUACGUGGAGAUCGGACCUAGUGCCGGUCCUACGCCCGAGUGACUGUUGGCUGUGGUGUUCUCGAACAGACCUCUUUGAAACACCGAUCUGCGACGCUAUAGCUUUGGGUACUUUCAGGACCCGUCUUGAA
rnacentral:rRNA from 1 species